rnacentral:lncRNA from 1 species
CGCCAUCUUCCGCCAGAGAAUCCCGGCUCCUGCUGCAAUGGAGAGGCUGCUCUGGAAGCUCUGGCAUUGGGGUCUUCAUCCCUGCAGUCUUUUCCAGCUAUUGUGUAGAGCGUUUUGGGCAAGAGAAUCUAGGACCAAGCCACACCGGUUCUCUGCUUUAACCCACUCCAUUCGACUGUUCUCCCAGCUAUGUUUCCAGAGUGCUCUGUGCAUUUCCACAAUCAACAAAAGAUGAACAAAUCUCU